rnacentral:rRNA from 1 species
UACAGAGGGUGCAAGCGUUAAUCGGAAUUACUGGGCGUAAAGCGCGCGUAGGUGGUUCGGUAAGUUGAAUGUGAAAUCCCCGGGCUCAACCUGGGAACUGCAUCCAAAACUGCCGAGCUAGAGUAUGGUAGAGGGUGGUGGAAUUUCCUGUGUAGCGGUGAAAUGCGUAGAUAUAGGAAGGAACACCAGUGGUGAAGGCGACCACCUGGACUGAUACUGACACUGAGGUGCGAAAGCGUGGGGAGCAAAC